GAGAAAUUGAAGUUCCUCUUUGAAUUCGUAAGAAAUCGCGGUUGAAAUUAGGGUUAAAGAAGUUCUUAAAUCGCCGAUGUCCAUUAGAAAGUCAUUUUCCCCAGCAUCUAUUGACAGCCGAUUCAAGGAUAACAGGUUAAAAUGACGUCCUUGGAGAACCCUUCUACAGUGAAUUCUUUGGAUUUCAUCACAGAGUUUAUAGAGGAGGAAGGACCAAUAAAGACAAGUGGAAAGUGUAAGAUGAAAACGUGGACAGUGGAAACAACUCAUUUUACAUUCCAAUCCCAAGAAACCGAUUCUUCACCGCCUGUACAUCCAGGAUGACCUCAUUCAUGCUGAUCCGAUCUGAAGGAGAGACAUAACCGAUGGAGCCUUUUAUUGCAAUUGAACUUGCAUCUUGUUCAUUCAGCUGUUGGGAAUUUCUGGAGCUGUGACGAAGGAACUUAGCCAAGCCAAAAUCGCCCACAUGCGCA